GAAAUAUAAGAACCCGUUUCUUAAUUUUUAACUAAAAAAAACUAAGAACCGGUUAUUUAAGAACCGAUUUUUAGUUUUUUUUAGUUAAAAAUUAAGAAAUAGGUUCUUAUAUUCC
rfam:Brassica napus, WGS project CCCW01000000 data, contig: 2378